CAGAAUAAAAUGCUUGCCUCGGAAGAUAGAUACUUCUCAGUGGCGAACGGGUGAGUAACACGUAGGUAACCUGCCCAUGUGCCCGGGAUAAUUUCUGGAAACGGAAACUAAAACCGGAUAGGUAAUAGAGAAGCAUUUCUGUAUUAUUAAAGAAGCCUCAAAGCUUUGAACAUGGAUGGACCUGCGGUGCAUUAGCUAGUUGGUAAGGUAACGGCCUACCAAGGCGACGAUGCAUAGCCGACCUGAGAGGGCGAACGGCCACAUUGGGACUGAGACACGGCCCAAACUCCUACGGGAGGCAGCAGUAGGGAAUUUUCGUCAAUGGGGGGAACCCUGAACGAGCAAUGCCGCGUGAGUGAAGACGGUCUUCGGAUUGUAAAGCUCUGUUGUGAGAGAAAAAGGAUAUAUAUAGGAAAUGAUAUGUAUUUGAUGGUAUCUCACCAGAAAGUCACGGCUAACUACGUGCCAGCAGCCGCGGUAAUACGUAGGUGGCGAGCGUUAUCCGGAAUGAUUGGGCGUAAAGGGUACGUAGGCGGCAUGAUAAGUCUGGAGUGAAAGGCUACAGCUCAACUGUAGUAUGCUCUGGAAACUGUCAAGCUAGAGUGCAGAAGAGGGCAAUGGAACUCCAUGUGUAGCGGUAAAAUGCGUAGAUAUAUGGAAGAACACCGGUGGCGAAGGCGGUUGCCUGGUCUGAAACUGACGCUGAAGUACGAAAGCGUGGGGAGCAAAUAGGAUUAGAUACCCUAGUAGUCCACGCCGUAACCGAUGUGAAAUAGGU
rnacentral:rRNA from 1 species